rnacentral:rRNA from 1 species
GACGAACGCUGGCGGCGUGCUUAACACAUGCAAGUCGAACGGAAAGGCCCUGCUUUUGUGGGGUGCUCGAGUGGCGAACGGGUGAGUAACACGUGAGUAACCUGCCCUUGACUUUGGGAUAACUUCAGGAAACUGGGGCUAAUACCGGAUAGGAGCUCCUGCUGCAUGGUGGGGGUUGGAAAGUUUCGGCGGUUGGGGAUGGACUCGCGGCUUAUCAGCUUGUUGGUGGGGUAGUGGCUUACCAAGGCUUUGACGGGUAGCCGGCCUGGGAGGGUGACCGGCCACAUUGGGACUGAGAUACGGCCCAGACUCGUACGGGAGGCAGCAGUGGGGAAUAUUGUACAAUGGGAGGAAGCCGGAUGCAGCAACGCCGCGUGCGGGAUGACGGCCUUCGGGUUGUAAACCGCUUUCGCCUGUGACGAAGCGUGAGUGACGGUAAUGGGUAAAGAAGCACCGGCUAACUACGUG